rnacentral:tRNA from 1 species
UCCCUGGUGGUCCAUGACUAAGACUCUGCACUCCCAAUGCAGGGGACCCAGGUUCGAUUCCUGCUCUAGGAA